rnacentral:lncRNA from 1 species
CAGAAACCGAGGGUUGUUGGUGCCGCGGUGGUCGAUGUCAUGGCACAGGCCGGCUGUCACCAUGGCGAAGGCCUCCAGGAGGGCCUGCACAACCCUGGUGAUUCUGGCAGCCACGUACCAUGAGCAGCGUGAACAUCGUCUGGGCCACGUUGAAGCCGUGGCGCCAGUUGUGGUAGGUGAUUCUCCGGUACCCUUUGCUGAUGGAGAACAGGAACCGCACCAGGACCUGGGGGAGCCGAGAGGACACAGGGCUCCGGCGGCAAGCGUGUAAGUCCCGCCAGAGCGGCACCUGUGGCUGACUUCACAGUGGAAGCCCUGCUCCGUGCCAUCAUCCCCACACCGUCUCCUGGACUUCCCGAUCUUCCCCAUCCCUGCGUUUCCCACUGGCCUCUGCUGGCCUUCCUGGGUAGGGGCUGCCACAUUGGCACCUAUGGGGUGGAGCCAGGUAGGGCAGGAGCUGAGAACAGCCCCAGCCUUCAGGGGCCGCCCAGCCUCCAUCCGACUGCCUGGCCUCAAGCUGGGAGGAGGACCCCUGGGGAUGCAGCAUAUUUUAAGAUGUUGGUUUUAGGCAUGGACAUUUGAAUGAGCAGAAUGUGUGGGCUGCAGGCUGGGGUGGGAGAACCGAUGUCCGCAGGGCAAGAGAAU